rnacentral:rRNA from 1 species
GCCUCUCGCGUCAGGAUAUGCCUAGGUGGGAUUAGCUAGUUGGUGAGGUAAGGGCUCACCAAGGCGACGAUCCCUAGCUGGUCUGAGAGGAUGAUCAGCCACACUGGAACUGAGACACGGUCCAGACUCCUACGGGAGGCAGCAGUGGGGAAUAUUGCACAAUGGGCGCAAGCCUGAUGCAGCCAUGCCGCGUGUGUGAAGAAGGCCUUCGGGUUGUAAAGCACUUUCAGUCGUGAGGAAGGUAGUGUAGUUAAUAGCUGCAUUAUUUGACGUUAGCGACAGAAGAAGCACCGGCUAACUCCGUGCCAGCAGCCGCGGUAAUACGGAGGGUGCGAGCGUUAAUCGGAAUUACUGGGCGUAAAGCGCAUGCAGGUGGUUUGUUAAGUCAGAUGUGAAAGCCCGGGGCUCAACCUCGGAAUUGCAUUUGAAACUGGCAGACUAGAGUACUGUAGAGGGGGGUAGAAUUUCAGGUGUAGCGGUGAAAUGCGUAGAGAUCUGAAGGAAUACCGGUGGCGAAGGCGGCCCCCUGGACAGAUACUGACACUCAGAUGCGAAAGCGUGGGGAGCAAACAGGAUUAGAUACCCUGGUAGUCCACGCCGUAAACGAUGUCUACUUGGAGGUUGUGGCCUUGAGCCGUGGCUUUCGGAGCUAACGCGUUAAGUAGACCGCCUGGGGAGUACGGUCGCAAGAUUAAAACUCAAAUGAAUUGACGGGGGCCCGCACAAGCGGUGGAGCAUGUGGUUUAAUUCGAUGCAACGCGAAGAACCUUACCUACUCUUGACAUCCAGAGAACUUUCCAGAGAUGGAUUGGUGCCUUCGGGAACUCUGAGACAGGUGCUGCAUGGCUGUCGUCAGCUCGUGUUGUGAAAUGUUGGGUUAAGUCCCGCAACGAGCGCAACCCUUAUCCUUGUUUGCCAGCGAGUAAUGUCGGGAACUCCAGGGAGACUGCCGGUGAUAAACCGGAGGAAGGUGGGGACGACGUCAAGUCAUCAUGGCCCUUACGAGUAGGGCUACACACGUGCUACAAUGGCGCAUACAGAGGGCAGCCAACUUGCGAAAGUGAGCGAAUCCCAAAAAGUGCGUCGUAGUCCGGGAUUGGAGUCUGCAACUCGACUCCAUGAAGUCGGAAUCGCUAGUAAUCGUGGAUCAGAAUGCCACGGUGAAUACGUUCCCGGGCCUUGUACACACCGCCCGUCACCCCAUGGGGAGUGGGCUGCAAAAGAAGUAGGUAGUUUAACCUUCGGGGGGGACGCUUACCACUUUUGUGGUUCAUGACUGGGGGUGAAUC